UUGGCUCAGUUUGAUUGUUUACCUAUAAGUCAAAGUGGCCGCCGAUAUCUAGCCAGGUAAACGAUUGCGUGCGUUUGGCCCUAAGGGCAGGAUCCUAUUGAAAUAGAAGCAAAUUUGAAGGACUGGUUUUAAUAAAAAAAGGCCGAAAUGAAACGAAACAAAACGAACCUAUAUAUGCAACGAUAGAUAUCUUGUAGAACGAAACUCAGAACGAGAGACAGCAAAUAACCAGUUUCUUGCGGUUCCCAGUUUUUCUCCGUUUUGGAUAUCUUCCCUUCCGUUCUUUUUCUUCGUAGCCACACUGAUUUCGAGGCCCUUUGCUUUUUUCCCAAUUCUUAAUUGAACAUCUCUUUUUCUUGCAUUCCAAGCAGAAAUUUCCCUCCAGUCUCCUGAAGCAGGGAGGGGGGAGGGAAGAACCGGGGUGCUUGUCGAUUUCUGGAUUUUGAUAGAUAUUUUCGCGCAAUCCAGGGGCCCAGAAACUUGAUUAUCCCAUGUUAUCUUGGUGGCGACGGGCAUGAUAGAUCUGAGUCUCAUACGAAUAUCGGCCAAAAUAAUCCCUACCAGUACCAGAUUUCAAGUUCCAAAAUCUUUCUCCGUUGGCUCCCAACAUUACAUGGCGAUGAACAUUGAUCAAUCGCAGCUGCAAGUUAAAAUGAACAAGAAAGUAGAAGAAAAAGACAAGGAAGAAGCGAAGAAGAAACUGCCUCCGCCGCCGGAGAAGCCGGAGCCUGGAGAUUGUUGUGGAAGCGGAUGCGUGAGAUGCGUGUGGGAUGUGUACUAUGAGGAGCUUGAAGAAUAUGACAAGCUCUGUAAAUCCAUUUCCGAUUCCGAUCCCGAUCUCUCCAGUUCUAAGCAAUCUUGAUUAUUGUAGGAUAAUUCCUGCUAAGACCCUAUGGAACCAGACAUAAAUAAGAAUAUCUCAUUUAAUUUUUAUAUGAGAUUUUAAUUUGUAUCGUGAGAAGUUGAAUUCAUUUUGAAUAAAUUUUAUUUAUGGCCUUAUUUGGCUGAGA